AUGGAACCCUAUGUCCUAUGUAACACACAGCUUUUGACCAGGGCUCUACAGGACUCCCAUAGGGCUCCACAUGGCUCCAGAGGGCUCUACAGGACUCCCAUAGGGCUCUACAGGACUCUACAGGACUCCCAUAGGGCUCCACAUGGCUCCAGAGGGCUCUACAGGACUCCCAUAGGGCUCCACAUGGCUCCAAUAGGGCUCUACAGGACUCUACAGGGCUCCCAUAGGGCUCUACAGGACUCCCAUAGGGCUCUACAGGACUCCCAUAGGGCUCCACAUGGCUCCAGAGGGCUCUACAGGACUCCCAUAGGGCUCUACAGGACUCCCAUAGGGCUCUACAGGGCU
rnacentral:lncRNA from 13 species